rnacentral:rRNA from 1 species
CAAUAGCGUAUAUUAAAGUUGUUGCAGUUAAAAAGCUCGUAGUUGGAUUUCUGGUCGAAGCGACCGGUCGGGCGUUGAUUCGUCUGCACUGGAGUCGGUUUUGGCCAUCCUCUAGGAAAGUGCGUCUGGUAUUAAGUUAUCGGGCGUAUGAUCCUGGUCUUUUACUGUGAAAAAAUUAGAGUGUUUAAAGCAGGCCUUCGCCUUGAAUACAUUAGCAUGGAAUAAUAAGAUAGGACUUUGGUCUAUUUUGUUGGUUUGCAGACCGAAGUAAUGAUUAAUAGGGAUAGUUGGGGGUAUUUAUAUUCCGAUGUCAGAGGUGAAAUUCUUAGAUUUUCGGAAGAUAAACUUAUGCGAAAGCAUUUACCAAGGAUGUUUNCAUUA